ACUCCUACGGGUAAGCUGCAGCAGGGAAUAUUGGGCAAUGGAAGCAAUUCUGACCCAGCCAUGCCGCGUGCAGGAAGAAGGACUCUGCACUGUAAACUGCUUUUGACAGGGAGCAAAAAGCUCAUGCGUGAGUAAUUGAGAGUACCUGUAGAAUAAGCACCGGCUAACUCCGUGCCAGCAGCCGCGGUAAUACGGGGGGUGCAAGCGUUGUCCGGAUUUAUUGGGUUUAAAGGGUGCGUAGGCGGCCGGGUAAGUCAGAGGUGAAAGACGGUGGCUUAACCAUCGCAGUGCCUUUGAUACUGCCUGGCUUGAGUACAGAUGAGGUGGGCGGAAUAUAUGAAGUAGCGGUGAAAUGCAUAGAUAUCAUAUAGAACCCCGAUUGCGAAGGCAGCUCACUGGGCUGUAACUGACGCUGAGGCACGAAAGCGUGGGGAUCGAACAGGAUUAGAUACCCUGGUAGUCCACGCCGUAAACGAUGAUUACUCGAUGUCAGGGAUACACUCUUGGCGUUGCAAGGGAAACCGGUAAGUAAUCCACCUGGGGAGUACGCUCGCAAGGGUGAAACUCAAAGGAAUUGACGGGGGUCCGCACAAGCGGUGGAGC
rnacentral:rRNA from 1 species